rnacentral:lncRNA from 1 species
UGUGUAUCUCCUUGAAUUUUGCACCCUGGAUGCCUUCCUUGCUCACCCUGGACCCAGCCCUGCCCUGCUUUUGAGCAAUUUGUAUUCUUGGUUUAACAAAGUGUGGAGAGGACCCUCAAGGAUCUCAGAACCUACUGGAUGAGGCAGGAAAAUAAAAAGACACAGAGUGUGCUGUGUGAUCAGCAGAGAUGAAGCUUCCUUAGUGAAGGAGGAGAAUUACAGAGCAGCGCCAGCGUUGGGGAAACAUGCUCAACUUCCAGCAGUCAUUCCCGCUCGCCUCCUUUCUCUUUGCUCGAGGUGCGUAUGACAAGAGCUUCCAAACAGCUUAAGCACAGGAAACUCUGGGAGUGUGUGUGUCUAUAUCUGAGCGACUUUCAUCUCUCCAUAGGUUCAGUCUGUCUGCAAAGCCUCCCUUGUCAGCAGCUGGCGAGGCAGCUCAACAAUAGAAUGAUGCUUGUUUC